AAAGCUGGAGGGAAAUUGGACUACAGUUCCCAGCUGGCAGUGCGGCCAGCCCUCUCCGCCUUCGCACCUGCUGGAGGAGAGGCUUUGUCUAAGGAAACAUAAAAAGGAAGAAAAGAGGAGGAAAAGUUUCUCAAUGUUCCUUCUGGGCUGUAUGUGCCGGUCGGUCUUAGAAGGACGAAAAAAACUGAGAACAAGAAAAGUUCAGUAGGUUACAGGUAAUCCUCAACUUACAGCCAUUCAUUGAGUGACCAUUGGAAGAUACAGCGACACUGAUCGAAGGGCCUUAUGACCAGUCCUUGAAGUUCUGGCUUUGUAUCACCCCCAUGAUCAGAAUCCAGAUUAUGACACCACACCCUUGAAACCUGGUGACCAAGGGAACAAAGUUCAUCUACUUUCUGCGUGGCCAGCUGGUGCAACUGCAUUGUCCGUGUGACACCUGCCAAACUGGAUGCAGCUGGGUCAGAAGAGGCUGAAGAAGGCGGGGGCCUUUCUAAUAGCAGCCGUCCUCCACUUCUUCUCAGUAAAGAACCAGCUACAUCUAACUCAACCUCCAG